rnacentral:rRNA from 1 species
CAGUCGCCGCGGUAAUACAGAGGGUGCGAGCGUUAAUCGGAUUUACUGGGCGUAAAGCGUGCGUAGGCGGCUUCUUAAGUCGGAUGUGAAAUCCCUGAGCUUAACUUAGGAAUUGCAUUCGAUACUGGGAAGCUAGAGUAUGGGAGAGGAUGGUAGAAUUCCAGGUGUAGCGGUGAAAUGCGUAGAGAUCUGGAGGAAUACCGAUGGCGAAGGCAGCCAUCUGGCCUAAUACUGACGCUGAGGUACGAAAGCAUGGGGAGCAAACAGGAUUAGAUACCCCCGUAGUCCCUGUCUUUAUACA